rnacentral:rRNA from 1 species
UUAAAGACGAUAAGGUAGAUAGGUUCAAGGUGUAAGUGUGGUAACACAUUCAGCUGAUGAAUACUAAUAGAUCGAAGGUUUAUUCUA